AGAGUUUGAUCCUGGCUCAGGAUGAACGCUAGCGACAGGCCUAACACAUGCAAGUCGAGGGGCAGCGCGGGGAAAGCUUGCUUUUCCUGGCGGCGACCGGCGCACGGGUGCGUAACAGGUGUGCAAUCUGUCCAUAAUCGGGGAAUAGCCCAGCGAAAGUUGGAUUAAUGCUCCAUGUGAGUUUUAGAGGCAUCUCUUUAACUUGAAACGCGAGGAUUAUGGGUGAGCACGCUUCUGAUUAGCUAGUUGGUGAGGUAACGGCUCACCAAGGCGACGAUCAGUAGGGGUUCUGAGAGGAAGGUCCCCCACAUUGGAACUGAGACACGGUCCAAACUCCUACGGGAGGCAGCAGUGAGGAAUAUUGGUCAAUGGACGCAAGUCUGAACCAGCCAAGUCGCGUGAAGGAUGAAGGUUCUAUGGAUUGUAAACUUCUUUGGUCUGAGGGUAAAAAAGCGGACGUGUCCGUUCUUGCAAGUAUCAGACGAAUAAGCAUCGGCUAACUCCGUGCCAGCAGCCGCGGU
rnacentral:rRNA from 1 species